UACGUAGGGAGCAAGCGUUGUCCGGAAUCAUUGGGCGUAAAGCGCGCGUAGGCGGCCCGAUAAGUCCGUUGUGAAAGUCAAAGGCUCAACCUUUGAAUGCCGAUGGAUACUGUCGGGCUAGAGUCCGGAAGAGGCGAGUGGAAUUCCUGGUGUAGCGGUGGAAUGCGCAGAUAUCAGGAGGAACACCGGUGGCGAAGGCGGGUCUCUGGGCAGUAACUGACGCUGAGGAGCGAAAGCGUGGGGAGCGAACAGG
rnacentral:rRNA from 1 species